GGGUCAGUAGGUUGGUCAUGCCACUGGUAUGUACUGGUUUUACUGAUUCCUCCUUCCUGAUGAGCCGUUAUGCCAUUAAUUUGGUGUUGUGGAGAAUUUGGACUGUUACUUUGAAAAAAUUAGAGUGUUUAAAGCAAGCUAACGCUUGAAUACAUUAGCAUGGAAUAAUGAAAUAGGACGUUCGAUCCUAUUUUGUUGGUUUCUAGGAUUGACGUA
rnacentral:rRNA from 1 species